GAUGAAGAACGUAGCGAAAUGCGAUACGUAAUGUGAAUUGCAGAAUUCAGUGAAUCAUCGAAUCUUUGAACGCAUAUUGCGCUCUUUGGUAUUCCGAAGAGCAUGCUUGUUUGAGUAUCAGUAAACACCUCAAAGCUUUUGGAUUUUUUAAUCGAAAAGCUUUGGACUUGAGCAAUCCCAACACCAAUCUUUUUGAGAUCGGUGGCGGGUUGCUUGAAAUGCAGGUGCAGCUGGACAUUCUCCUGAGCUAAAAGCAUAUUCAUUUAGUCCCGUCAAACGGAUUAUUACUUUUGCUGCAGCUAACAUAAAGGGAGUUUGACCGUAUUGGCUGACUGAUGCAGGAUUUCACAAGGGUCGGCAACGAUUCUUGUUAAACUCGAUCUCAAAUCAAGUAAGACUACCCGCUGAACUUAAGCAUAUCAAUAAGCGGA
rnacentral:misc_RNA from 1 species